CGCGGUCAUGGUUCGCGCGGUCAUGGUUCGCGCGGUCAUGGUUCGCGCGGUCAUGGUUCGCAUGGUCAUGGUUCGCACGAUCACGCUUCGCGCGGUCACGG
rnacentral:tRNA from 1 species